GACGAACGCUGGCGGCGUGCCUAAUACAUGCAAGUCGAACGCAGUGGGGACGGGUGAGUAACACGUGGGUAACCUCCCAUCAGAGGGGAUAACACUUGGACACAGGUGCUAAACCGAUAUCGAUGGAUGGACCCGCGGUGCAUUAGCUAGUUGGUGAGGUAACGGCUCACCAAGGCCACGAUGCAUAGCCGACCUGAGAGGGUGAGCGGCCACACUGUGACUGAGACACGGCCCAGACGCCUACGUGAGGCAGCAGUGGGGAAUCUUAGGAAAUGGACGAAAGUCUGACCGAGCAACGCCGCGUGAGUGAAGAAGGUUUUCGGGUCGUAAGACUCUGUUGUUAGAGAAGCGGUAUCUAACCAGAAAGCCACGGAUAACUACGUGCCAGCAGCCGCGGUAAUAC
rnacentral:rRNA from 1 species